GUGUGUCUGAUCCAAAGCCCAUUGAAAUCAAUGGCAGACUUCCCAUUGUCUUCAGUGGGCUGUGGAUCAAGCACUAAGUGC
rnacentral:pre_miRNA from 1 species